AUUAGAUACCCUGGUAGUCCACGCCGUAAACGAUGAUUACUAGGUGUCGGUGGGUAUGGACCCACCGGUGCCGCAGCAAACGCAGUAAGUAAUCCACCUGGGGAGUACGUUCGCAAGAAUGAAACUCAAAGGAAUUGACGGGGGCCCGCACAAGCGGUGGAGCAUGUGGUUUAAUCCGAAGCAACGCGAAGAACCUUACCAAGUCUUGACAUCCCAUCGAAUAAAGGGUAAUGCCUUUAGUCCUUCGGGACGAUGGAGACAGGUGGUGCAUGGUUGUCGUCAGCUCGUGUCGUGAGAUGUUGGGUUAAGUCCCGCAACGAGCGCAACCCUUAUUCCCAGUAGCCAGCAAGUGAGGUUGGGCACUCUGGGGAGACUGCCGGGGACAACCCGGAGGAAGGUGGGGAUGACGUCAAAUCAUCAUGCCCCUUAUGAUUUGGGCUACACACGUGCUACAAUGGCGUAAACAGAGGGAGGCGAGCCCGCGAGGGGGAGCAAAUCCCAAAAAUAACGUCCCAGUUCGGAUUGUAGUCUGCAACCCGACUACAUGAAGCUGGAAUCGCUAGUAAUCGCGGAUCAGAAUGCCGCGGUGAAUACGUUCCCGGGUCUUGUACACACCGCCCGUCACACCAUGGGAGUCGGAAAUGCCCGAAGUCUGUGACCCAACCUUAGGGAGGGAGCAGCCGAAGGCAGGUCGGAUGACUGGGGUGAAGUCGUAACAAGGUACC
rnacentral:rRNA from 1 species